rnacentral:lncRNA from 1 species
AAGAGAAGUUUUACCGUGUCCCUUUUCUGCUCCAAGUUGUCCUCUACCUCCCACCUCACUCAGAGCAAAGGUCAGAUGCUUCCCCAUUCCCCUCAAGCCCACUUGCUCUGGCUGUACCUCUGAUCUCACCUCAGUUUCUCUCUGUCCAGCCCUCCUGGCCUCCUUGUUCUUCUGGGAACACACACACUUUCCUGCCCUGGUACAUCUGAACUGGAGGAUCCUCUGCCUGGAAAGAACUUCCCCAGACAUCCUCGUGGACAACUCCUCAUGUCCCUCAAAUCUUUCCUCAAAGAUCACCUUUGCAACGUGGCACACACUGACCACCCCAGCACAACAGCCACCUUCUCUGUCCCCACUGCCCACACCCUGGAUCACCUGUCUCACAGCACUUACCACCUUCUAGCACUUUCUUCCCUUGCUCUGGUUAUAAUGUAUCUUUCGUCUGCCUCCGCAUUGGAACACAUGCUACCCAAGGCCAGAGAUUUUUCUCAUUUUACUUCAGGGAUGUUCCCCAGAUGCAGAACCCCUCUGUCCUGUGUCUGCACACUGCAGCACACAAUCAGGUUUCUCUCUUCAGGAAAGAACAGUCCUUGAUGCCCACAGGUGGUGUUUGCAUGUAGGUGACAGCUAAGGUGAUAGCACCCAACCUCAGGUACCCAAGAGGAGUGCGCAGGUGCCCAAGGUGGUGGGUUGGGUUGAGGAAUUCCCAGGACCCGGGCCUGUGUUCUCUGUCUCAGUGGGAGGGGUCGAUGAAGCUGCCUCUUCAUCAUUAAAUGCUGUGCCAACGAGUCCCUUAAUUUUCUUUUUCCCUGGAGGACUGAAACAUGUAUUUUAGUUUAGGUCUAUGAUUAUAAUGUUUUUCACUACCUAUAUGUCUAAAAUCCCUGUAAUUUUUGAUAGACAUAUUCAGGGUAUGUUAGUUAACUUGAUUUAAUCAUUACACUUGGUAUACAUAUAUCAGUAUAUCACCCAAUAUCUCAAGAAUGUAUUAUGGUUUGUCACUUAAAAUUAUACAGAUACAUGUUUGAAAAAGGUAUUAUUUUCUGGGAAUAGAAUCUAGUUUCACAGCAUUUUCCUUUUAUGUUUUUAAAGAUGUUGGCCGGGUGCAGUGGCGCACACCUGUAAUUCCAGGACUUUGGGAGGCCGAGGCGGGCAGAUCACGAGGUAAGGAGAACCAGACCAUCUUGGCUAACACGGUGAAACC